AAAUACAAUGAAGGAAAGUAAGAUCAUCCUGUUGGAAAGCAGUGUGAAAGGAAACAAGGAACCAUUUCCUCCUAAAACCACACAUUCACCAUACUGUUCAUUCCCAGUUGCUGAGAGUGUCAUAAUCAGUCACGUUACAAGGUGACACCAACUCCUACUGUUCCCUUGGGAACUCAUGCAAAAACUUGAUAGAAAAGAAACUGAAGGCAAAGGUAUUUGAAAAGUUGGAAGAGAGUUUUCAAAGAUACAUCUGCUUUUUGGUACUUCUUUUCUUAGCAGUACUUAUGCCAUGGACAACAGAAACCUAUGCAAGCAAAGUAAGGCUAUUUUACCAAUUAUUUCUGUAAGCAGUGACACAGAGUUGAGCAGGAAAUGCAGCGAGGACUGGCAGGCAGAAAAGCCAUCUUCCUGUGCAAUGAGAGUGCUGCCUGACACAAACACUUCAAGAACCCCAUGGCUGCAGAGAUUAAAAUGUCCCACAGACAGAAGGACACUGAAUAACAUAGGGUUUGGCAAAUUCACCUCCUGAACAUUGUUGGUUGCCAAGAAAAUUCAUUCUGACUCACAAGAAGCCAUAUGUAUUGUUCCACAAAAGGAUAUGAACAAGUGUAAUACUGAUGGCCCACAAAAGCAGUUAAAAAAAUACAGCAGCUUUAACAGAUUUCUAUCUGGUCUGAAGAAUAAUUCUGGUCUCCAGAGGAGACCUCCUUAGGCUCACUGAAUGGCACUUGUCCAAAAAGACCUGGCGGGUGGCCUGUCUGGGAAAAAGAGAGCAAAAGGACGGAAGCGGAGGUGACCUGGUAAUGUGUCAGCAAGGAGUGGCAGGCCUGAAAAAGAUUUUAUGAAGCCAAAAUGGGAUAGAGGCAUAUAAUCAAAACCUAUUUUCCUACAACAGUUCUGCCCUGCAGAGCCCAUUUUUGUGUUUUUGGUUUUUUUAGCCCUGUGUGACAGGAACCCUGAGGAAACACCACUUGACCUUCCUAGGACUGAUGCUUAGUAAUUGAUAGUGCUGUUUACACAAGUGUCAGAAUAUUUCAUUUAAAAUUUUGGACCCUUAAUUGUUAGAUUUAGUUCUAAACUACUUCACAGAAUGGUUGACUGAAGAUCUGCAUGUUUGUCGAAAAGAUUUACAAAGAUUUACACAGCGAACAAAUCCAAGCCAUAGUACUGUGGAUGUUCAGACUCUCAUCUGUUAGAAACACUUUUGGCUUUGCAUAUCUGUAAGAUCUAUCUUGGACAGCAGCAUGCUUCUCACAUUGUCAUUAGUCAAACUGCACAGCAUGUCUGGGCAGUAACUAAGGUUUAUAGUCCAUUAAAUGGAUAUGUCAGUAAGAAACUGAAAAAUUCUGACUCACCUAAAGCAACAAAAGAAGGUGAUAGCAAAUCAUUCAGAUCUACACAAUAACAUUUUUCUACUUUGUUUGAUGUUACUCUUUUAGGUUAACUAGCAGGACUCUUCAACUCUGUUUCUAAAAAUAAAUCUCUUCAUUCCAUACCUGUAACAUCUUCCCAUUCUACACUGACUAGGCUGGAAAUAACAGGCUUCCUGGUAUUAAAAAACCUAAGUUUCAAAAAAUUGUUUGCAUGUCACAAAUGUCCAUGUCUCCACUACUUUCAAGCUUUUAAAAAAAUUGUUAAAUCACAUCUAAUGAGGAUGUACCCCUGGCAUCUGGUAACUUAUUACUCCCUUAGGGUCUGCAUUCUAGUUUUUUAUAUAUCUGUCUCAAAGGACUCAAGCAUGCUAACAGUAACUGACAAGACACACCAUAAACAGCCCAGAUCCACCAAAAAAAGCAGAAAUAAAGGAGGUCUCAACAUCCCUUCAAAAGCUGAAACUGAGAAAAUGUUUAAGAGCCCUUUUUUCUUACUGGCAUAGGCACCAAGGCAGGAUUGCCCAGAUUUGGAGCCCAGAAACACUGCUGUUCUCUGUGCUUCAUGAAAUCUGCUGUAAAAUAAUGUGGAUGACUCAUACACAAAUGUAUGCAGAAGAAAGCACCGUUCUUCUAUGCUAAGUACAUUUACUGAGAGCAACAUAUCAUUGACUACAAGAUGGACAGUUACAAGAUCUCUUAAACAGGCAUUCAGAGAAUUGAUAAAAGCGUUAAACAACUUGAGUGGCAAACACGGAUCACCUUCAAUUGCCUAACUUCUUGUUUUAAGUGCCAUUUCAUGCUUCAUGUCCCAGCAACAUAAAGAUAUGAGAACUAAUUGAGAUGCUAUCAGACUUCUGCAUUUUUCCAGUUCAACACUAUCUGUUCUUUUCAUGUACAGGUUGGAAGUCUGAUUUCAGCACUGGCCUCCAGGCAAAACCAAGAGAUAAUAAACUUUGUUGCAACUUCCCUGUGAAGCACCUGGAUGCUAUCAGUGAUCAUUAUCUCACUGCCUUGUCCAUUUGAUGGCUCUUCAUUGCUUGAAGAGGGCUAGGAGUUACAUCUAAUGGUGUUUCAUAUAUGUACCUGGAAAAAGCUUUGGAAGUAGUAAUAAGAAGCUAAAGUGCUGUGCCCUAAGAAGAUAAACCACAAAGAUUUCAGGUUCUAACUAAGAAAGAAAAAGUAAAUAAAGUAGUGGGUGAAAGGAAGUACUGGUGACCUGAUUUGACAGCUGAGAAUUGGUUUGAGAAGACAUUAAGUUUCAAGAAGUACACACACAUGGCAAGACCUUCAGAGGUACUGGGUAUUAUUAGCUCCAGCCACAGCUCUACAAAUGUGAGUCUGACUGCCUUGACACCUUGCAAGUGGUCAGUAGGACAGCCUGUCUGCCUCUGCACAGCAGGCUCUGCUAUCUCUGUGCCACACACCCAGGAGUUCUGUUUCCCAGGGUGGCACCAGCAGACUUGCCUUAUAUUUAGCUACUACCAGUCUCAUGAUGUUUCAGAAUGUCCUCAGGUAAACUUACUAACUCCUCUGUCAAACCCAUGAGUCAAGCCAGACAGCUUCUGCUGUCUCACACAUUUAACAAGAAGGCCAGUCCUCAACAGUUUUUCUUUCUGGUUAGAAAAGCCUGUGCAUUGAAUGAAAGAAGGACACCCACCUUACCACAUCUGCUUGUUUGAGCUUUUCUCAACCAAACAGCCAAUAAAUCUCCAAUAAGCAAGAGAAAAAAACAAAUACUCUCCAAAGAGCUGCAAUACUCUACACUGCAAAGAGAGAGCAGAUUAUAAGGCUUCUGCUUUAGUGAGACACAAGGCAGAUAGCCAAAAAGUCAGAACUACCUUCUCUUUGCUGGGGUGCUUUCCACAGACAGCCAGAGAUGGAAGAAGAGCUACAAUCUCAACAGGUUGUCAAGAUGUUUCAGGAAAGAAGGUGGGAAUUCUGUCUAGUUUCCAUUAUGUUGCCAUUUUCUUGUCUCCCACAACCCUGUAAUCUCAGUUCUCAACACAGAGAUACAGCUAAAGAUAGUGAAUAACUUAUAUUAAAAGUCCUGGCUGGAUGCUGCCACUAUCAAAUAUCAGCUUGGCCAAACAAACCAAGAAUGUGGCCAUCUGAGAGAGAUCUGCUAAAAGGCAGCUGCACCUUGGGAAGAGCUGCAUUCAGUAGGAAACAAACCCAUUGAAGAGCAGGUGUAAAAGAGUAAGAUACAACGUAGAAAUAGAAUUUCCUCUCUCUUGGCUGUGAAUCCCAGCUCCUUUGUUGUUUCCCAGCCAUACCUUGUCUGUUUGCAGGAUCUUUCCAUAGGAAUGAGAAUGACAUGGGUGCUCCUGAAAGGCAGAGUACAUGAGAUACAAUAAACUGGAGAAAUGUAUUGAAGCGUCUGUAGAGCAAGAAAGGAUAAGACCAUUUCCCUUUUUGAUGGGUAAUCUCACUAGCUGUGGGAGAGGCAGACCCAUGUCUCUCCACACUCUCUUUAGGGGGCUGUCUGGUGUGUUUAUAUUCAAAACUGCACAAGUGGGUUUCUGCAAACCUCUGUCCUUUUUCAUGUAUGCAACACCAAACCCUGCUUCCAUCACAGCCCUCUACACUUUCCUCUGUUCCUGCUCUCAGGACACCUCCAGAUUCCCAAACCUCUUCAGCCCCCACACAGAGCCUUUGAGUAGUCCUUCCUGGGAGCUCACCUGGCUUUUUGUUAACUCCUCUCACCUGGGUGCAGGGCAUGUCUGCAUUAGUAUGUACUCAUUAUCUUAUUGCUUGCUUGCCUGUUUUGCUCAUAAUUUUCAAAAUGGUUUCUGAAAGAUCUGGCAUCUCUAUUCCCUGUCUACCUUAAUGUGGACUUUGACUUGUGAUGCUCAGACUCCCUCAUAAGACCAGGCAUGCUUUCACAUUUCCAUUCUGCACACAGGGAGGGGGUGUUAGGAGACAUCUGCACUACAGUGUACACGAGUACCCUGAGGAGGAGCAACUCCCUGGCUUUCCUUCAUGUGUUAAUAGGGCUACUAAAACUGUAAAAGGGAAAAAGCUCAACAGGAAAGGCAGACGUGACCAGUUCCUUCCUCAAACAGUCUCACGGACUUUGGUUCUGCCACUCUGAGCCACAAAAGGCAAUGGGGAAGGGAAUUCAGGAGAAGUAAAGUGGGGCAAUGAGCUGCACAAUACAAGCACAACUUACGUGUUGCAGAACAAGACACAGGCCCAGUCAAGUCAGAGCAUCACUCAGGCCUAUGAACAACAACUGGGUGUUGCCGAAGUCCAAGAGCAGCUGCAGGCAAGUCUGUAGUGGUCACAGAAUGGCAAUUCAAAUUUCUUAAUGGCAAAGGAGGUGGGAUUGAGUUAAUCAGUCUGUGAAAUGUGAGAAAAAAGUCAAGUAUGCAGGACACUCAGAAAAAGAGUACACAGCUGGUAUAUAAUUGAAAAAGUCUCUACAGUAGUGCAGCAGUCAUUAAAAAAAUUAAUACGGUGUCUUGGGAUAAGUGAAAAUAUGGAUCUUAGCCAGGAAAGAAAAACAUACUUUAACCAUUUGCCAAAUACUUGUGGACUGUACUUUAAGACUUAGGUGAAGACACCACUGGAUACCUUUGGACAAACUGAUCUCUCAGGUAGUGCUAAUAACAAAAUAAGAUAUUUCAGGAGAAUGUCUACAUCAUCUCUACUGAUGUUGACAUUCCCUUGCAAACUCCUAAGAGGCAUACAGAGAGAAUGACAUUAUUUUCCCCAAGAAAUGUAUUUGGCUUUUUUAACUCUGGCUGUACAGGAGCUAGCUCACUACCAACCACUUGCACAUGCAGAGUUCUCUUUCUCUGAAUUGUCUAUUAAAGGAUUUCUAAAUUAUAGAUUUUAUCAUUUACUAUUACAGGGCUUUCCAAAGCCAUAUUCUUAAUUGGCCAUUAUCUUACAGCUAUGGGACAACUGGUGUGUAUUCAUGAAUUACUUGGUACAGCCAAGUGCCCUCUAGCUUGCUAGCAUCUUGCCUCAGGAAUCUUGAAUCAGAAUACCUGAUUUCAAUCUUGUUUCCUCGUUUAAAAGGACACAAA